CUGAUCGGUCUCUUUGAGUCUUGUAUUGGAAUGAGUACAAUUUAAAUCUCUUAACGAGGAACAAUUGGAGGGCAAGUCUGGUGCCAGCAGCCGCGGUAAUUCCAGCUCCAAUAGCGUAUAUUAAAGUUGUUGCAGUUAAAAAGCUCGUAGUUGAAUUUUGGGCUCAGCUUGUCGGUCCGCCUAACGGUGAGUACUGGCUGGUUGGGCUCCACUUUUUGGGUGUCGCGUCUUCCCUUUACCGGGUGGGCGCGAGGUCCAAGACUUUUACUUUGAAAAAAUUAGAGUGUUCAAAGCAGGCUUUCGCUUGAAUACAUUAGCAUGGAAUAAUGGAAUAGGACUUUGGUUCUAUUUUGUUGGUUUAAAGAACCAAGGUAAUGAUUAAUAGGGACAGUUGGGGGCAUUAGUAUUUCAGGGCUAGAGGUGAAA
rnacentral:rRNA from 1 species